UUCUAUAAGUUCAUCGAUCAUAUAUUAACCCUUUGAGACGCUAUGUACACAAUUGUGUACACCACUUGUAUUUGCUCUUUGUAUUGACUAGGGGCUACGGAACAGCCAGAUACAUUGAGGUUUGGAUGAAUUGAACCUCCUGCAUAAUAAAAUUGUCCUCAUUUAACUUCAUUUUGCAGUGCGCUCUUGCAUACGAUUAUUUUUCUGAAGGUACUACCACGGUCGACGAGUCGUUCGAUGUGCCGAUUCCCGCAAGCCACGUAUAAAGUAUAAUUUUUCUUUGCACAAACCUGACAUAACUGAAAACGAAUUCGCACUAUAUUUCUAGCCAGAGAUUUGAUUCUGUUUAUGUAAAAACAAGGCAUGAAUAGGUUCAGAAUAAAUAGAUAUUUAAUUACCAACCAAUUAGGAAUGAUUACUAUAACACGCAUAAAUUAACGUGUUACGACAUUAUUUUUGUUGCAAUAGAACAUCGAGUGCCUUGAAACAACGUCGCAUAGAUUUGGCGCAUUUACAGACAGUUCUUCAUAGGUGGCGUCUGAAAGGGUUAAUUGAGCUUUCGUAGUUUGCCCAUUUCACGACAGUAAUCAACAAAACUCUUUGCUCAGGAUUCAGUUUCACAGAGGUAGACC
rnacentral:lncRNA from 1 species